rnacentral:rRNA from 1 species
UACGAAGGCCACAAGCGUUAUCCGGAUUUAUUGGGCGUAAAGAGCGUGUAGGAGGUUCGGUGAGUCUCCUGUUAAAUGGCACCGCUUAACGGUGUCGCCGCAGGGGAUACUGCCGAACUAGAGGGCGUUAGAGGCAGAUGGAACACACGGUGUAGGGGUGAAAUCCGUUGAUAUCGUGUGGAACACCAAAGGCGAAGGCAUUCUGCUGGGACGUUCCUGACUCUGAGACGCGAAAGCGUGGGGAG